rnacentral:lncRNA from 1 species
GAGAAUAGUAUUAUAUUUUUCAUAAAUUUUAAAUAAUAUAAAUUUAUAUUUGAUAGUAAAAUUAGUAUUAUAGUAUUCUAUAAUUUUUUUAGUUUAUACGAACCAAUCAAUGAAAUAUGAAUAACUCAUUCCAAUUCCCAAUCCACAAAUAAACCAAACGUCUUGGGGGAGUGGGCCAUUCCAAUUACCAUUCCAAUUCAUUCCCAUUCCAUUAUCCAUUUUAAUUCCACCCUUGAACCAAACAAGCCCUUAG